rnacentral:rRNA from 1 species
UAGUAACUGCGAGUGAAGCGGGAAAAGCUCAAAUUUAAAAUCUGGUGGUCUUUGGCUACCCGAGUUGUAAUCUAGAGAAGCAUUAUCCGCGCUGGACCCUGUAUAAAUCCCCCGGAAUGGAACCUCCUAAAAGGUGAAAAUCCCCUCCUUGACACCGACCACCAAGGCAUUGUGAAACCCCCUCCAAAAAUCCAAUUGUUUGGGAAUGCCGCUCUUAAUGGGUGGUAAAUUCCAUCCAAAGCCAAAUAUUGGCCAAAAACCCAAAGCCAACAAAUACCCUGAAGGAAAAAAGAAAAAAACUUUGGAAAAAAAAUUAAACAAUACCUUAAAUUGUUGAAAGGGAAACCCCUGAAAUCCAUCCCAUUGGCCAAGGAACCACCCUGCUUUUGCUUGGUGCCCUUCCCGGUUAAUGGGUCCACCUCCAUUUUGACCAAUGGAAAAAAUUCAAAAGAAUGUGGCCUCCUCCGAAGUGUUAUAACCCUUGUUCCCCUACCUUGGUUGGGAAUGAAGAACUCCACCCGCCCAAAGGCCGGGUUUUUAACCCCCUUCCUGCCUAAGAUGCCGGCCUAAUGGCCUUAAUCCACCCCUCCUGAAACCCCGACCCAAGAAUCCAACCUACCUGCCAAUGUUUGGGUGGCAAACCCCAACGCCUAAUGAAAAUUAAAGUUUGGAACGCCGUCCUGGGGAGCCGCGACUCCCGGACCAGAACCUCUGUUACCGAACCGCCGUACAACAUGUAUGGUGGGAACCGAAACAUGGUGAACUGUGCCAGAAUACGGUGAAGUCAAAACCAAAGGUAUGUGGAGGCCCCAGCCUUUCUUAUUUGCGAAUCCACCCUCCAACUC